rnacentral:lncRNA from 1 species
AUGGUUUUCUACUGCUGCGAUAGGCUUGAUCCCCACGGCACUGUUUCGUCUCUAUCAUCUCUCUAGAUUUCCAUUGGGUUAUUCCACGAAAAAUGCCUAACCAGAGGCUAUAUAAAGGGCCCCCAUCCCCCCAUCCAGUUUCCCUCCAUAAACCUAAGCAUCAGAGCAUCUUCCCCACACAUCUCUCUCUCUCUCUCUCGCUCUCUCGCUCUAAAGCAAGUCUUUCCAGCUGAGAGAAUAAGCCGCCGCGAGGGUCCAUCCCCAUCUCCUCAUCUCGAUCCACAUGGCUCCGAACGGCCAGAAAAUUUCAUCCAUGAUCAUCAGCCUCGCCUUCUUCUUCUUCUUGGUCUCUGCGAAUUCCACUCAAGCGAGGAAGCUCCUAGGUAGCCCAGGGGGGGGACUUCGCCUCCUUAGAAGGCACCAUGGUGUUCAGCGCACUGCCGAGGGCCCCCGUCCCUCCGUCGUCACCAGGUAACGGAGGAAACGUCGUCGUCGUCGAGGGGAGGUUGCUCGCGGGUCGUACCUCGUCGGUUGAGCGGAUGCUGGGAUCGGUGCCGAGCCCUGGAGUCGGCCACUAGUGCUUUCUCCAGCUCCCUGUUGAUGCUCUCCUCUUCUGCGUUCCUCCUCUCACUACCGUGACCCAACAUUCCUGGGAGACGGACCGAUUUUUUCGUUUUUCUGACAUUUUUGUCACUUAGUUCCUCAAAUGGGUAUAAUAAAAGAAAAGUAAACACAUUUAAUGUAUGAUUAUUUAGCACAGGAGAUACCCGGACGGUUUUUUCCGACUGUUCUUCUCAUUUCCUUCCCUUCUUCCUGUAUUUCUUUCCAGAGAGAGCGGGCCUGAUGGGGUCGCCUUACAUGUACAAAUAUUGCAUAAAUUUACGAAAGAACAGGAGAAUCGUGCGCAUCGAUCAGGAUUUGAUGGUUUUGCCUGCUUCGUCCGCAUCAAUUAGCAUCGGAAUUGUUCAGUCGGUCUGGCCACCCUAUUAACGUCAUUCCCAUGUUAUUCUCCCCUCCGUUGCAUUCACCCUCAAGGCUCUGGUUUGCUCGAGUUCAGGAAGAAGACUACACGCCCAUCAGCUAAUAAUUCAUCCUUAAUCUGGAUCUGGGACCUGGCUUGAUCGCCGCAGAUGAUGCCGUCUUAGUCGCGAUUUGGGAGCGAUAGGAGGGUCUCAGACAUUCCGAGUUCUAGCGCGAACAGCACGUCUCCGGGAAGGGCGGUCCGCCGUCCUGAACUUGGACAGGAAGCGGGCACGUAUGGGCAUCCCGACAUGCCGGGCCGGGGCGUUGUCUCCGUCAAUCAGAUCACGCCCCAACGAAUCCCCGGAAGCGGCGCCCAUGCGAUCCAACGUGGGUGACAAUGGCCGGACGAGACUUUAGCAG